CAUUCCAGAUGAGCCCUCGGUGUUUAGGUACGUCAAACAUCCAUCGUCACCGGUUCGAACUUCAAGGAUACCACGUGGAUUUUUGAGUUCAAAGUGUUGCCAGAACCGAAACGACGCACAUCUGAAUGAUAGAGGACGGACUGGAGUUGUAAUUGUACACGAGAUUUUUCUGUCUUUUAAAUAUUAUCCGGUGGCACUCUUAGCCGUCACGAAUUUACGACACGUAAAGAAUGCUGAUUAUUGACAUUAUCCAGAGGGUUCUUAUAUUUCGAGGUGGAAUGUCCGUAAUGAAGGUAAUGAAGUUUCAAUUCCUAAUCUGAAAAUGAAAGUUGAUGGAAUGGUAAAGGAAUUUUAAUCGAUUUAUUUGAAGCCAUCGUUCGUUAUCU